AGUGAACGCUGGCGGUAGGCCUAACACAUGCAAGUCGAACGGCAGCACAGUAAGAGCUUGCUCUUACGGGUGGCGAGUGGCGGACGGGUGAGGAAUACAUCGGAAUCUACUUUUUCGUGGGGGAUAACGUAGGGAAACUUACGCUAAUACCGCAUACGACCUACGGGUGAAAGCAGGGGAUCUUCGGACCUUGCGCGAUUGAAUGAGCCGAUGUCGGAUUAGCUAGUUGGCGGGGUAAAGGCCCACCAAGGCGACGAUCCGUAGCUGGUCUGAGAGGAUGAUCAGACACACUGGAACUGAGACACGGUCAAGACUCCUACGGGAGGCAGCAGUGGGGAAUAUUGGACAAUGGGCGCAAGCCUGAUCCAGCCAUACCGCGUGGGUGAAGAAGGCCUUCGGGUUGUAAAGCCCUUUUGUUGGGAAAGAAAAGCAGCAGGUUAAUACCCCGCUGUUCUGACGGUACCCAAAGAAUAAGCACCGGCUAACUUCGUG
rnacentral:rRNA from 1 species